GAUAAACGCUGGCGGCGUGCAUAACACAUGCAAGUCGAACGAAGUGGCGAACGGGUGAGUAACACGUGAGUAACCUGCCUUACACAAGGGGAUAGCCUUUGGAAACGAAGAAUAAUACCCUAUAGUGUAAGAUGGACUUGCGUCUGAUUAGCUAGUUGGUGAGAUAAAAGCCCACCAAGGCGACGAUCAGUAGCCGGCUUGAGGAGGUGACCGGCAACAUGGGACUGAGGCAAGGGCCAAACCCCAACGGAGGGAGCAGUGGGGAAUUUUGCACAAUGGGGGAAAACCUGGUGCAGCGACGCCGCGGUAUUUUGAAGGCCUUCGGGUUUGUAAAAACUUUUUUAUGGGGUGCAGUACCAUAAGAAUAAGGUCCGGCUAAAUACGUGCCAGCAGCCGCGGUAAUAC
rnacentral:rRNA from 1 species